AAUAAUACUUCUCCAAGGUUCAUAUUCAUAAAUACCUGGCCAAAAAAAACUACAAAUCGUACGGCUGUAAACUGUAGCGGCACAAUGAGGUACAACACGGCUUCUUCUGAUAGUUUUUCUAUACAAACCUACAUAAAUACGGGCAAUCUGAUGGAUCUGAGGGCUCCGAGUAGACUCGCAAGUAGAACCAAUACUUUGUUUUGACACUGAUUCGGCUAUCAGAAAUUAUAUACUGUGUUCAUCGGGUACAAGUUCUGAUGCGUGAAUGGAUAAAAAUAUCCCUCCACAAAGUCAGACUUUGAGUUCCAGAAAUGUUCAUUAUUAUUUUAUGUCUGUAUAUUUUUGAUAUGGAGGUUUGGGUUAUUAAUUCAGGUAUCGCCCAUACCUUCACCACACGCAUUCUAUAUUGCCAAACUUCGUGUGAGUCUGUAGAUGUAGGUAAUAGCUAAGGCUCAAGAAUUGAUGUCCAUGCGGAACGGACAGAAGAUAACAAAAGUCCAAAAAGUAACAAA
rnacentral:sRNA from 1 species